UUAGUUGGUUUAGUCGAGAUAUAUGAGGGAGGUUAUGAGAUUUUUUUUUAAAUUCGAAUUGGGUGAUGCCAAUUAGAUGCAACUAAUGAUAGAUAUAUAUAUAUAUAUAUAUAAGAUCAUAGUUGUAGUAGUCAUAUAUUAUACAGAAAUUGUUAUCUUUAUGUGAUAUUGGAGUGAGAGAGAAAGUGAUCAGAGUAGGAAGGUGAUUGUGGUCUGGUCUCUUUGUAAAUCGUAGUGCAUCUUACGUAAAAGUUUCUACUGAGGUUUGACUAGGGUGUGGCUACAAAGGCUGCUAUCAUAUAUUGGAUCUGAAAAUAAAAAUUAGUGCAAACUCUUCCACCCUUCACUAUUAAGGGCCUAGAAGGUAUCGUAGGAGUUAAUUACAGCGGAGUUGAGAUAAGUAAGCCUGUAAGCUUUCGGUGACAAGUUGAGUCUGGGCAGCAUGGGGUGUAUCUCGUGUGAUCAUGUAACUGCGUGUGGUCUUGGCCAUCUUCCGCUGAAAGUUUUUUUUUUAAAUUUAUUAAACUUAUCGAGGAUGUUGUCGUUUAAAUUUUCUAUUACUUUUCCCUAAGUGGUAAUACUUUAUUUUCAACUGGGUACCCAUGUUUUGAAAAUUGUUUUUUUUUUAAUAAAGGCAACAUUAG